CCUACGGGAGGCAGCAGUGAGGAAUAUUGGGCAAUGGAGGCAACUCUGACCCAGCCAUGCCGCGUGCAGGAAGACGGUUCUAUGAAUUGUAAACUGCUUUUAUUUGGGAAUAAAAUUAUCUACGUGUAGAUAACUGAAUGUACCAAAAGAAUAAGCACCGGCUAACUCCGUGCCAGCAGCCGCGGUAAUACGGAGGGUGCAAGCGUUAUCCGGAUUUAUUAGGUUUAAAGGGUCCGUAGGCGGGAUCUUAAGUCAGUGGUGAAAGCCUGCAGCUUAAUUGUAGAACUGCCAUUGAUACUGGGAUUCUUGAAUUUGAUUGAGGUAGGCGGAAUGAGAAGUGUAGCGGUGAAAUGCGUAGAUAUUUCUCAGAACACCGAUUGCGAAGGCAGCUUACUAAGUCAAUAUUGACGCUGAUGGACGAAAGCGUAGGUAGCGAACAGGAUUAGAUACCCUGGUAGUCUACGCCGUAAACGAUGAUUACUCGUUGUGCGCGAUACACAGUGCGUGACUGAGCGAAAGCAUUAAGUAAUCCACCUGGGGAGUACGCUCGCAAGAGUGAAACUCAAAUGAAUUGACGGA
rnacentral:rRNA from 1 species